UUGCUAUGAAGAAUUUAGCGCUAAUAGUGAUCAGGGUCGAUCCCAACCGUCAGAUCAAUCUGACGAUAUCAACGGCGCUUCUGAGCUU